CUUAUAAAAGGUGUACAAAGUAUAAUUUAAGUUGGAUAAUUGUUGUCUUUUAUCCAGUCAUAGCAUUCAUCGAACCAAUUUUUAAGUUUCAGAUUCAACUUUUUAUCCAAACAAAGUCGACCAAUUCAAUAAAGACAAAAGAUAUAAAAAAGAUAAAGUUGUUGUAAAAUAAAUCACUAAAUAGAAAUAUGUAAGUUUUUUUUUUUUUUUUUUUUGCAAAACAUUAAUCAACAAGCAAUGUUUUUGUUAAUCAAUUAAAAAGUUAAUCACCAAAUACUAAUAUAUAAAUAUUUUAUUGUGGAAAAAAUAAUUUAGUUGAGUAAUAGAGUCGUGAUAUUGAAUAAAAUUUCAAUAUAAUUGGUUUCAAUUUAUUUUGACCACAACACAAGUUCUGGAAAUAUAAAAAUGAAAUAAUAGAAAAUGGACAUUUCACCGACAAAUUUCGUGUUUUUUUUUUAUUUAUUUUUUUUAUCUAUAUGAUGAUAUAUUUUGUAUUAUCUUUUUGCAAUUAUUAGUAUACCUUGUACUAUGCAUUGAUAUUAAUAUAUUUAUUAGUUGUUCCUAUAAAAAUCAAGCAUUUUUUUGUUGAAAAAAAUAAACAAAUAUAAAAAAUAUAAAUAAUAAUUAAAACACUAGAAAAUAAUGUGGAAAUUUUAAGUCGGAGAAAAAACCACGACUAGAUAAUAACAUUAUGUGUAAAGUUAUAACACAUAAAUUUCUCUCAAAUAUCUCACACCCUUAACACAACCAUACUCUCCAAAGAGAAUAUCUAACUACCUCAUAAAACUCUAAAACAAGAGAAAAAGAAAUAGUUAUAAAUAAACUUAAAGUGUUUCUAGUUGAUGCAAAUUAUAUUGAAAAACUAGAGUUGUAUAUAUAAUCUUAAACUUUAUUUUAUUUUACAAUUUCAAACAAUGCGAGGCAAUCUAAAUUUUCUCAAUUUCAACAAAAACUCAAUAUUUUAAUGAGUGCUCUCACUUCUAUGAUUUCACCUCUGGCGUAUUACUUUUAACACAUGAUAACCAAAGUUUUUUAUUUCAUCGUGUUUUAGAUUUUGGUAAGUGUUUGUUAUCCUGUGUUGUUUGUUGAAUGAUCGAAUAUUACACAUGAUCCUAAUUUUAAAUUGUUAUGGAAUUGACAAGGUCCUCCAAAAGUUCAAAAUUUCUCAGAAAAAUAUCUUAUGGCAAACUCCUUAUAAAUGUAAAAAGGAAGUAUCGUGACAUAUCUGACUCUGAUGAGUGCUUGUGUUGCUUUUAAGUUUCUGAAACUAUUAUGCAUUCUUUAAGAUAUUGUGAAGUGAUCAAAGAGUUAAGGGAGAAAUUUAUUUCUCUACAAGAUGAUCAUUGAAACUCUUUUUUCUGUCAAGGCAUUUCUUAGUGGAUGAGCUUCGACUUGCAAAUCACUUCUAUUAGCUCCAACAAUUGGAAAUGCCUACUGUAUUCAGUAUUAUGGAAAUAUGUUGUGGUUGGAUAGAAACCAAUGUGUGCUCGGAGGGAUGUGUCAAGAUCCUAAGUAAUACAAUAUAAAUCCUCUUAUGUAUCUUACUUUGAUACAUCACCAUCUUUUUGUUUGCCCACCAUCUUAUAUUGAUGAUAAUAACCAUGAGAUAAAUAUUAGGUGUUUCUCGCCCCUGUCCAAUGUCUUAAAGCUCAAUAUUGAUGGUUCUUAUAUUGGUCACUUUAGUCUAUCAACUUUUGGUAGCCUUAUUAGAGAUUCCAAAGGUUGUUAUGUUCGUGGCUUAACAACAAUUUAGGUCGUUCUACUUUGGUGAUGGUGAAUUGUGGGAUCUUGUUCAUGUGCUGCGAUUGGCUAGUAUUAUGGGUAUCAAUUCUUUGAUAGUAGAGAUGAACUCCCUCAUAAUUGUGGACAUAAUUAAUACCAAAAAUUCUCAUAAACAAUUGGAUGAACUACAUUUUAAUUCAAUUGUCUCUUAUGAAAAUGAUCAGAGAGAGUACUAAUGAUCAAAUUGUUUGUACUUCUAUAUUAUCUAGAAAAUCAAAUUUUGAUUUAAAAACACUUUAAAAAUUGAGAAUGAAUACCAAAAUACAAUAAAAUUUAAGUUAUGCAGACUCUAGUCCAACCAUAUGCAAUUGUUGGUUUUUACCCUCCACUAAGUUUACCAAAAUAAUGAAGGGAAUAACAAUUAUUUCCAUUACAUAUCAUCCAAUUUAUUCUAAUUUGGUUUAUGGCACUCUUAUUUUCAAUCGAUACAUACACCUCACAUGAACAUGAAAGGUACAUGGGAUCAUGGAUUUCAUAAGAAACCCUUGUCUUGGAAGCUUUUGAUGCAAUCAUCAAACAUUUGUUCAAGUGUUUUGAAUGGAGGAAACCCAAAUUGAGUGAUUUUGGUGGUGUCCAUGCUAUGUGUACCAUUAUCUCCUUCAUGAUUACUACACCUGUAAUUACACCAUAUUAAGAAAAAGUAAGCACACAUAAUUAACUUCAAAUCAAAUAAAAGUUGUUGGUGCAUCCAAAAUGCUAUUUAGGGUCUAUUAUAGAUUUUAAUAAAAAUGUGAUUUUAGUAUUCAAUAAUUUAAGAUAAUAUUUUGUAUUUGUUUAUCAUAGUAAAAAUAAAUUUUUUAUUUAAAAACUGUAAUAAUUUUUUUUUAAAUUACUAAAACAACUUUUUAUUUGAAGUAGUUUUUAAAUUAUUUUUAGAUUCUCAUUUUUAUAAAAAAAAUUAAUAAACAAAUGAAAACUUUCAAAAGUCGUUAAUUUCUUUUAUAAAAAGUGAUUUUUUACGAAAUAAAACUUAACAAACAGACCAUUUUUUAUGACAUUAAAAUUGAUACUUCUUUUGCAUCAAAAUUAAGGUAGAGAUGAUAUAUAACAUAUUUUUUUUUUUGAGGUCAAAAUAUAUAACAUUACUUAAACUCACUUGCUUUCGUAUGGAUAAGAAGGAUAUUUGGCGCGAAGCAUUUCGAUAAUUUGAGACCAAUGGGCUACUGGGCCUGAACAAAUAAGUCUGCCAGAUGCUUUGGGCUCUUCCAUGGCCAACAAGUGGGCUUCAAUCACGUCAUCUAUAUGGACAAAGCCCACUGUUGUGUUUGGAUAUUCUCCUUUCAAACCUGUUAAAAGAUGUGUGACUCCAAAUUUAGAAGAAUAAAUGGUGAACUAGUUUAUUUAUUUAUUUUUAAUGAAAAAAUGUACCUUUAUUUUUUUUAAUUGUUAUUUUAUUUUAUUUUAUAUUUUCAGUUCUAAAAUGAUACGAGUAAAAAAAAAGGUUCUAAAAUAUAUAAAUUUUACCAAAAUCUCCUUUGUGUUUAGCCUCACAUUUUUCUUAUAAGAAAAUUGGGUUUGGAUGAACUAAUAAUAAUGUCAACAUUUUUAAUCCAAAUAUAUAACAUGACAUCACAUUUGAUAUAAUUAUCUAACCUUUGAUGAUGUUUAGUAUGAUGUAAAGUGUGCUGGCUGGGUGUGGUGUAAGAAGUGGACCAACAACGAAAGAGGGGUUAACCACUACUAGAUCAAUGUCAUUUUCCUUUGCAAUUUUCCAAGCCUCUCUCUCUCCCACAGUCUUUGCAUAUGCAUACCACAGCUGCAUAAUUCAUGGUUCAUGAUACAAGCACAAAUUUCCAUGAUUAAUUUUGUGAGCAAAUCACUAACUCUAUUCAUGAAAUUUUAGUGUUUGAAGUUAAUGACAUUCUAAAAGAACAAAUGUGAUAGAGGAUUUUUAAUUUUUUAAUCAUUUUAAAAUUUGGUUAAUUUCAAAUUUUAAAAUGACUUUAAAGUUUUGAGAAGAAUAAUAUGAAAUUCAUCACUAAAUUUAGCCAUUAGGGAACUCAAAAGAGAUUUUAAGAUCUGUUUAUUUUGUAAAAAUAUUUAUUCAAUUUUAAAAUAUGUGAUUUUUUUAAAUUGUUAAUUAAAAGAUCAUAUGAAACUUUUAAAGUAAAUAAUUGUAACAAUGACAAUAAAAAGUUACUUCGGGAUGAUAUAUUUCUAAAAAUAAUAAAAAUAAUUUUUUUGAUAUUUUAAUUGGUUAAAAAAUACACACAAUUGUUUGAUUUAAAAAUCUUUUAUCUUCUUGUUUGUAAAUAAAAUUAAUAUAAAUUUUAAAAAAUAAAAUAGAAAAUAAUAUUGGAUAUUUUUUUUUAGUUUUGCGUAAAAAUGCCACUUAAAGCUGUGAUCCAAAUAAAAGAAUGAGACAUUAUAUCAUGCUUUCUAAUUAAUUAAGAAGCAAGUGUUGUUACAUUGUGACGUUUACAAUAAUCUGGAUCACUCCAAUGAGAUUCAUUAAGAGGAGAAAUUUGUUGCACAUCAUCACGAUAUCUUAUGGAAGAGCAAGAAGAUGUUAGCACCACACGUUUCACAUUUGCUUUGGCGCAAGAAUUCAACACAUUCUUGGUUCCUUUUAUACAUGGAUCAAUCAAAGUAGCCUACAACAUAUUUCAAAUAGUAAAGAGUUAUACCAUGUAUUAAAUAAUGUUAUGUUCAAUGGAUUGUUUCUGUUUGAUUGUAUUUGUGUUAAAACAAAUUCUUAAUUUAAUUUAUCUUGAUAAAAAAAUAUUUACUUAAUAAAUUUACCAAAACAAUAUGAUUAUAAGAGUCAAGAUUAAUGUACCAACAUAGGAAACACCUCAAACUAAGGACAAAAUAGAAAAAUGUACCUGAAUAUUGUUAUCAUAUGGAACAAGGACAGGGGACGCAGUAUGAAACACACCAUCAACCCCAAUUACUGCCUCAUCAAAGCUCCCUUCCACUAAUAAAUCUGCUUUUAAAAUCUUCAAUCUCUCUUUGUCUCCACUUAAUUGAGUAAGAUACCCAACCUUCUCCAAAUCUGCAAAUAAAAAUAAAAUAAAAUAAAAAUUGUCAUCGUUUUUAAAAAGGUUAGGAUUUAAAAAGAAAAUUUAAUUUAUAUAAAUGUACGUUAGUAAUUUUUUUUAUGACUAUUUAUAAAAUUAUUCAAAUAAUUGGUCAUGAUUUUCUAACUAUGUAAGACUUUUUAAAUUAAAAAUAAUCUAAAAAUUGUUUCAAAUAAAAAUUAUUUUAAAUAGUUUAACAUAAAAAUAUUUUUUUUAUAAUUAAUUCUUUUAAAAAAAUGAUUUUUAUUAAAAUGAACAAACACUCUAAUUUUAAUUUUUUUUUAAACUUAUAAAUAAUUUCUAAAUCGUUGAUUUCAAAAAAUCACUUUUUAAUAAUACAUAACAAACAGCUCUUAAAAAAAUGAAAAUAAUUAAUAGACCAAUGAAACACAACAUUACCAAUAACAAAUUUUAUUUGAAUUAAAUGGCUCUACCUGGGUUUCUCACUGUAGUCCUCACUGUGUAACCCUUUUCUAAUAAGGCUUUCACUAGGUAAGCUGCUAUGAACCCAUUGCCACCUGUAACACAAAACUCUGGCAUAUCUUUUUUAUUUUAUUUAUUUUAUGAGUCCCUGUUAAGUUUUGUGUUGUUGAGUCUUAGGUUUAUAGCUCACAUCGUAGUAUAACUUGGUCUUAUGUAGGACUAUCCAAAGUGGUAAAAGCAGGAGAGUCACGUUAAAUGCAUAUUUGUGAGGUAGAUGAGAAACGGAUGAUUCACAUAUAUCUAAGCUAUAAGGUUACCCACUAACUAACCCUAUCUAUUCGUUUUUUACUAACUAACUCUGUCUAUUAGUAUUCCCUAUGCUAUAAGGUUCAUAGAUGUUAAUUUUAUUUUUAUUAUUAAUCGUAACUAACUUGUCUUUUGUUAAUAAAUGAAUUUUUAUCUUUAAAAAAAAAUAAAAUUGAAGUACCACUGCAAAUCUUUUACGUUUAGAGAUCAAUUAUUCCAUAAAAACAGUCGCUAAACACUUAAACAAUCAAAUUAGAGACUAAAUUUUUAUUGGUCGGUAAAUUAUUAUUGCUAAUGUAGUGAUCAAUUUUAUGAUUGUUAGAAAAUAAUAGAGUUAUUGAAUACAUUACACACAAUAUUAGUAUAUAUAAGGCGGUGGUGGAACAACUAAGAUGUGUACGUUUAAGGGAUAUGAUUUUGUGAUUGGGGAGAACAUAUAUCAUUAGAAAUUGAAAUUAAAAUAUUUUUUUUUGUACUAAAAAAUUCAGUUUUAGUCCUCGUAAGAUUCUCAUCAUGCAUUCCACACACGUCUAGUUUAGCCCUUCAAAUUCCAGCAUUUGUCUCCCAUGACCUUAAUCUAGUCGUUAAGUUUUCAAUGAUCACUUGAUUUGAGUCUUUCGUUUUUUUUAUCGUUUUUCUUUUCCAACUCUAUAAUAGAAGGUCCAUCCAUUUAGAAAAGUAUAUAUAAGUUGAAUGCAUUUAUCAACUUUAUCUCUUCUUCCUCCUUCUGCUCAACUCACUUUUGAGUCAAUUCUUCCAUUUUCUUACGUCUAUUCAAUACUUUAGAGUUGUCAUUUUACCACAAUUCUUUGGGUCUCAAAGUGAUCAAAAUACAAUUAUUCCUUCAGUAUCAGAGUGGUUUUCGUACCAUAGUUUUUUUGGUUUGCGAGUGGUCUUAUCAUCAUAUUUGAGAUUGUAAUUCUAAAACAGUUUCAAUAGUACAGUGAGACUCUAAUACCGUUUGAUUGAGAUGUUUUAUCAUGGGAUAUCAUCGUUGAUAAUUUGUUUGUAUAAUUUUAAAAAGUGUUACAAAACGUCUUAAAGAUAACAACUUAGUAUACGAUUUCUAAAAUAUUUUUAUAUAAAAAACAAAAAUGAUCAAUUUUAUCUUUACUAAUAUAGCGAUUUUAGAAACUAAUUUUAGAGACAAAUCUAGUGAUUGAUAAUAGCAACCGAUUUACUAUUUAAUAAUUUUAAAUUAAUUGAUCUGUGCAAAAUAAUUAUUGAUCACUACAUCGGUCUCUAUUCAUUGUUAGAAAAAUUAAAUAUUAUAAUCUUUGUUUAAAUAAUAUAUAUAUAUAUAAAAUAAAAAAAUUAAUACAUUCAUGUGGAUUUUAAAACUGACAUAUGAACCGAGUCGUCAAUUUUUUUAUUUAAGACAUGGUCAAAAUAAAUCAUCAAAUGGAUGUAGAGUUAUAAAGAGUUUGAGACUCUAACAACUAACCAUUUUUGUGUUAACAUUCAUUAUAAAAAUAAACCAUUAAUGAUAGAACCCGUCACUAUUUAAAAUCAGCUACACACUUAAACAACAAAUCUAAAUUUUUAAAAAUCAGACUGAAGUUGAAUCCAAGAGACCUUCCAAUCCAAUUAUGAUUCAAUUGAUUCAAUCGAUUAAAUUAUUUAAUAAAUAAAUAAUAAAAUAAAUAUAUAAAAUAUAUUAAAAUAUUCAUAACUUCAUAAUUUAUAAAGUAAAAAAUCUAUAAAAUUUAUAACAAAUAGUUAAUAUUUAUAAUAAAUAAAUUUAAAUUUACAACAAAGAUAUCGAUAAUGAUUCAUAAUAUAAAUUUAAACAUCAAAUCUCAUAUAGAUAAGUCAAUUCAUUACAGAUGUCUUGUAGACCAAUUACACUUAAAAAAGAUUAUUUUUAUUUUUAUUUUUUCAUUUAUAAAGUUCAGGUAUUUUAAAAAACUCGGGCAAUUUUCCAAAAUUAAGUCUGGUUCAGUGACCCAGUCUAAUCAAAUUCAAGCCAAUUUUUUCUCAAUUUUACUAACCAACGAAUUUUUUAAACUGACCAAACCAAAAAUAGGUCCGAUUCUCAGUUAAACAGAUCGAACCAGUCCAUCCAAUUUUUACAAUAUUGCAACAAACACGUACCACACUAAUCCUCUUGUCUUAACUUCUCAUUUGAAUACACUGAAAGUAAAGUUCGAAAACAAUUUAAAGAAAGUUUCAGAAAAAUGGCAACAAAAACAUUUUUGAAAAAAAGAAUCUAAACAAAGUUAUAAUAGAGCUCAAAAUGAUUUCAAACAACACAUCUUGAUCCACCGUAAACAAAUUGUUAAGUUGGUUGAUGUUAGAAUUUUCCAAAAUAUGGUAACUUUUAUUUACUGGUCGCUAAAUUUCAAUUUGUAAGUGGGUUACUAAAUAACAAAUUCCCGUAUACCAAACAUAACUUAAUUGAUAUUUUUAAAGGAAGGAAAGAAAACUUCCUCUCUAUGUCAUUUCAAUACUCUUCAGCUAUAUAUAUAUAUAUAACAAAUAAGCUACUACUAACUUAAUUAUAUUGUAUACUAAACAAAAUCAAACCAUUAAUAGAAAAAUAUUAUAUUGACUUGCACGUUUAGCUAUGAGUCUAUGUAAGAAUCUUUCCUUGAAAAAGAAAGCUUUGCAAGCUUGUACUUCUCCAUUCUUUUCAUCAACCGCAUGCACUAUAGAAAUCUGUUAAAACAUUUAGUUUUAUAUUUUGGGAUUGAAAAAUUUGCAAAGUUAAUGUCCCCGUAAAUGAACUUCAAUAUAUAAACUUAGUGUCCCCGAAUCAUGGUUCAAUAUCUACUACUAACAAUAUUACCUUUCCUCUUACAUAUAUAUAUUUUUUUUGGUGAGCAUGCACCUCCUUUUAUUUGUUAGCAUCAUAUAUAAUAACUAUUAACAUUUCUCUAUAAAAAUAAAUUAUAUAUAAACUUAGGUUGUAGAAGUAGCCCUCUUCUUAUAUUCAUUUCAAACCUCGAAAACGUAUUUUAUAGUCAAAUCUAAUUGCUCAAACAAGAUGUUAAUUUUUUAUUUCAUUUAUGAAUGGAAAUUUAAUAGCUCCUAAUUAAAAGCCAAACAUUUAUUAAAGCACAAAAUAAAAUAAAUGAUUUUUGAAAAUAAUAAAAUAUAUAAAGAAAACCUUAAUUUAAGAAUAAUCAUCUAACUUCCAUAGGCCAAGACUUAUGGAAAAAAAAACCAAAUUUACGACUUACUUAUUUAUAAGAAAAGAAAAAAUAAAUGAUUUUCUUGACAUAGAAGAUAUGGUUUCAAUGUUCAUAUACAUAAGUAUUACAAGAACCAAAAGAGGCAGAGAGUAAAAGGGUGAUGAUAGAAAACUACAAAUUGAAGGUUAAUUUACUACUCUAACAACAAUAUGUACGUACGGAACAAUAAGAAAAUUCCUAGAAAUUUCACAAAACAUAUGUAGUAAAAUAUUAUCUAGCUAUGACGUGAAGGUGUAAUCUUGAUAACAAGGCCAGGGAAGACAUCAUCAGGGUCAUGUAUAUGAGGAUUAUUCUCAACAAUAAAAGGGUCAUCACACUUAUCACUAAUUGUAUGAAGUGUCUCACCUUCACCAACAACAUAUAUUUCAUCGCAUGGUUUGAUGGAGAAGAGGUGGUUAUUUUCCAUGAAGUUGUUAUGAACAUGAUUUGGAAUAAUAUUCAUAGAGGUGUCUCUAAAUAUUGUUACAAGUAUGAGGGCUAUAAGAACAAUAGCACAACACCAUGAAACUACAUCAGCUAUAUUUUUUGAGUUUAAGAAUAUUUGUCCUUUUUUGGAGUAAAAAGAAGGCAUGAUGAAUUGAUGAUGAAGAAGUGAUCAAAGAAAGAGAGAUAUUAAUAUGAGAAAAAAAGAGUGGUUUGGAAAGUUAUAAAGGAAAAAAAAGAUGGGACAUGAUGUGUAUGUGAAGGUCAGUUUUGGCGGUUACUAAGGGGGAAGAAAAAUGGGGGAAAGAUGGUG
rnacentral:lncRNA from 1 species